CUAGAGUUAGAAUGAUAAUAGAGAUGUAGAGAUUUUCUAAGAAAUGUGGAAAAAACUCUACUAUCUACCUCAAGAUGUGUCAUGUGGAUGAAACAUCACUUUCAAGAGUUGUCUGGAGUAGCCAGUCGUACAGCCUGCACUCGGCUGGACAGACUAGGAGUUUUAAGCCACCUUUCCAUUACUGAUGCCCUAGUAUAGCAGAAAGCUGGCUUAUCAAAUCCACCAAGAUGUCAGCAUUAUCUUCCUUGCGACUACUUGGCAUGCACAAGGUUGGGGUGGGACAAUGGGAACGAUUACACAGCACAGAAAGUUUAAAGUCAGAGUAAUGAUCAGGGACUAUACUGGGUUGAAUAGUGUCCCCUCCAAAAUUCAUGUCCACCCAGACCCUCAGAAUGUGACCUUACACAGAUUUUACCUUACAAAAUGUGAGCUCUUUGUAGACACAAUUAGGUAAGAUGAGGUCAUACUGGAUUAGGGUGGGACCUAACUCAAUGACCUUAUAUAAGAAGGUCAUGUAAAGACACAGACACACAAGGAAGCAGGCCAUGUGACAAUGGAGGCAGAAACUGGAAUGAUGUCGCUGCAAACCGAGGAAUGACAGACUGCUGGCGACUACCAAAAGCUAGGAAACGGAAAAGGAAAGGACCAAAUCUUACCCCAUGCUGCACCACUGUUUCAGGGAAGCGUCUCAGAAGGAGCAGCAGCAUUUCUGAUCGUUCCAAGGUGUUGAAGCAUUGUUCCGUGACCUUGAGUAACAUUUCACACUGGACCCGACCAGGAAGAGUUUCAAAUAAACCUGUACACAGCACAUCAUGUUUUUAGAAGUUCCUUUCAGAAAGAACACUGAAGCAAAAGUGGAAGUAAGGCAUUUUUAUAUACAGAACAGUAAAUACUAUGUGAAGAAUCACUGUUCUUGGGUUUCACCUACAACCUAGAAGGCUUCUGGGUCAGACAGUAUUGGGCACAAGAUGUUUGUUGAAUGACCAUAAAAACCUUUUUGGGAUCCAGAAGGCAAGAAUGAUAUGUGAAGGGUCACAACAGUGCUUGUUGCUGGCUGAGACAGAGAACAUGCACUUGUUUAAGGUGAAAGGACCUACACUGUCUACUUUUUUAUCCAGAAUUUGAAAUAUCUGAUUGGCUAUAGCAACCAACACAGAGUAAAGGUUUAAAGAAAGGUCAUAAAUCAUUAAAGUUUCUCUCCUGUUUUGUGAAGAUCUGCCUAAUGUACAGAUACUUUCUGACUGCUGUAAAACCUGUUAAAAAUAUAUUCAGUUCCCUGGACUAACUGAUAAGUCCACAUCCCUUAAGGAAGCUUACAGGAGUCUAAGCAAAUGCUUCAGGGACCAAGUGACACCAUUUGUACAGACUUCCGCUGCCAAGAAUAAAACAUACAAAUGGCUACCAAUA